UCCGAUAUGGUGUAGUGGCUAACAUCGUUCGCUUUCACGACACCGGGAGUCAAUCCUGGCAUCGGAUGAGCCGAACAGCCCCGGGUUCGAUUCCCGGUGUCGGAA